UAGGGAAUUUUCGUCAAUGGGCGCAAGCCUGAACGAGCAAUGCCGCGUGAACGAGGAAGGUCUUCGGAUCGUAAAGUUCUGUUGAAGGGGAAAAAGAGCGGAGAGAGGAAAUGGUCUCCGAUUGAUAUUACCCUUCGAGGAAGUCACGGCUAACUACGUGCCAGCAGCCG
rnacentral:rRNA from 1 species